AACCAUUCUCACCUGCGGCUAGACCUGCGGAGGGAUCAUUACCGAAGUUACUCUUCACCAAACCCUUAUGUGAACCCUACCUCUCGCCGCGCGGUUGCCUCGGCGGGGGAGGUCUGGGGCGCCGUGGGGAAGGGGAGGCGCCGUCCGCGGCCUCUCCCCCUCCCGGCCCGCCCCCGGCCCCCCGCCGGCCGCGCCCAACUCUUCUUCUGCAAAGCGGACUGCAUGCUCUGAUUACACUUG
rnacentral:misc_RNA from 1 species